CGAAUUCAGACAAACUCCGAAUGCCAAUUAAUUUAACUUGGGAGUCAGAACAUGGGUGAUAAGGUCCGUGUUCGAAAGGGAAACAGCCCAGACCACCAGCUAAGGUCCCAAAAUAUAUGUUAAGUGGAAAAGGAUGUGGCGUUGCCCAGACAACUAGGAUGUUGGCUUAGAAGCAGCCAUCAUUUAAAGAGUGCGUAAUAGCUCACUAGUCGAGUGACACUGCGCCGAAAAUGUACCGGGGCUAAACAUAUUACCGAAGCUGUGGAUUGUCCUUUGGACAAUGGUAGGAGAGCGUUCUAAGGGCGUUGAAGCAUGAUCGUAAGGACAUGUGGAGCGCUUAGAAGUGAGAAUGCCGGUGUGAGUAGCGAAAGACGGGUGAGAAUCCCGUCCACCGAUUGACUAAGGUUUCCAGAGGAAGGCUCGUCCGCUCUGGGUUAGUCGGGUCCUAAGCUGAGGCCGACAGGCGUAGGCGAUGGAUAACAGGUUGAUAUUCCUGUACCACCUAUAAUCGUUUUAAUCGAUGGGGGGACGCAGUAGGAUAGGCGAAGCGUGCGAUUGGAUUGCACGUCUAAGCAGUAAGGCUGAGUAUUAGGCAAAUCCGGUACUCGUUAAGGCUGAGCUGUGAUGGGGAGAAGACAUUGUGUCUUCGAGUCGUUGAUUUCACACUGCCGAGAAAAGCCUCUAGAUAGAAAAUAGGUGCCCGUACCGCAAACCGACACAGGUAGUCAAGAUGAGAAUUCUAAGGUGAGCGAGCGAACUCUCGUUAAGGAACUCGGCAAAAUGACCCCGUAACUUCGGGAGAAGGGGUGCUCUUUAGGGUUAACGCCCAGAAGAGCCGCAGUGAAUAGGCCCAAGCGACUGUUUAUCAAAAACACAGGUCUCUGCUAAACCGUAAGGUGAUGUAUAGGGGCUGACGCCUGCCCGGUGCUGGAAGGUUAAGAGGAGUGGUUAGCUUCUGCGAAGCUACGAAUCGAAGCCCCAGUAAACGGCGGCCGUAACUAUAACGGUCCUAAGGUAGCGAAAUUCCUUGUCGGGUAAGUUCCGACCCGCACGAAAGGCGUAACGAUUUGGGCACUGUCUCAACGAGAGACUCGGUGAAAUCAUAGUACCUGUGAAGAUGCAGGUUACCCGCGACAGGACGGAAAGACCCCGUGGAGCUUUACUGUAGCCUGAUAUUGAAAUUCGGCACAGCUUGUACAGGAUAGGUAGGAGCCUUUGAAACGUGAGCGCUAGCUUACGUGGAGGCGCUGGUGGGAUACUACCCUAGCUGUGUUGGCUUUCUAACCCGCACCACUUAUCGUGGUGGGAGACAGUGUCAGGCGGGCAGUUUGACUGGGGCGGUCGCCUCCUAAAAGGUAACGGAGGCGCUCAAAGGUUCCCUCAGAAUGGUUGGAAAUCAUUCAUAGAGUGUAAAGGCAUAAGGGAGCUUGACUGCGAGACCUACAAGUCGAGCAGGGUCGAAAGACGGACUUAGUGAUCCGGUGGUUCCGCAUGGAAGGGCCAUCGCUCAACGGAUAAAAGCUACCCCGGGGAUAACAGGCUUAUCUCCCCCAAGAGUUCACAUCGACGGGGAGGUUUGGCACCUCGAUGUCGGCUCAUCGCAUCCUGGGGCUGUAGUCGGUCCCAAGGGUUGGGCUGUUCGCCCAUUAAAGCGGUACGCGAGCUGGGUUCAGAACGUCGUGAGACAGUUCGGUCCCUAUCCGUCGUGGGCGUAGGAAAUUUGAGAGGAGCUGUCCUUAGUACGAGAGGACCGGGAUGGACAUACCUCUGGUGUACCAGUUGUCGUGCCAACGGCAUAGCUGGGUAGCUAUGUGUGGACGGGAUAAGUGCUGAAAGCAUCUAAGCAUGAAGCCCCCCUCAAGAUGAGAUUUCCCAACUUCGGUUAUAAGAUCCCUCAAAGAUGAUGAGGUUAAUAGGUUCGAGGUGGAAGUAUGGUGACAUGUGGAGCUGACGAAUACUAAUCGAUCGAAGACUUAAUCAA
rnacentral:rRNA from 1 species